rnacentral:lncRNA from 1 species
AUUAAAGAGGACCAUCAUGUAGUGUGAGGAGUCAACAUUUCACACUAGAAAGCCCUUGGUUCAAGUUUUGUCUCUGCCACCUACAGAUUUUGUAACCCUGAGGAAACUAGCUACCUCUUUAUGUACUGCCCUAUGGAGAGGCACACAUGUCAAGAAACUGAGGGAGUGCCUUCCAGUCAACAGCCAGCCAGGAACUAAGGUGCUCAGUACAGCAGCCUCCACAAAGGACUGAACAAUGCCAACAGCUAUUUGACUGUGCUUGGAAGAUCUCCGUUUAGUUAACCCUUCAGAUGAGACCGCAGCCCUGGCCAGCAAACAAAUUGCAGCCUAUGGAAAGACCUUAAGGCAGAAGCACCCAACUGAACCACCCGAGGGCUCUGACUUACAGAAACUGUGAGCAUAUAGUGAAAUGGCCUCUACCUUAUUUUGAAUGGAUUUCUGGGAUAAAGUUCUUCAGUGAUAACAUGUUUGAAGCGGCUAUCUUAUGUGCCCAUGUUACAUGCUCAUGAUAAAGCUGCAUUUCCUGAGGGGACACCAAUGGAUACA